ACGAGUUAGGGUCUCACAGGCCCGACCUCCCAACCCUAUGUUUAAUUACCUUCUGUUGCUUCGGCGGGCCCGUCCGUAAGGACCGCCGGGGGACCGUAAAACGUCCUCUGGCCCGCGCCCGUCGGUGGCCUCAACUAAAUUCUUGAAUAAUCAUGUUCUUGUCUGAGUUCAAAUCUUGAAUUACAAGUAA
rnacentral:misc_RNA from 1 species